rnacentral:rRNA from 1 species
UAACCUGCCCAAGAGACUGGGAUAACACCUGGAAACAGAUGCUAAUACCGGAUAACAACACUAAGACGCAUGUCUAGAGUUUAAAAGAUGGUUCUGCUAUCACUCUUGGAUGGACCUGCGGUGCAUUAGCUAGUUGGUAAGGUAACGGCUUACCAAGGCAAUGAUGCAUAGCCGAGUUGAGAGACUGAUCGGCCACAUUGGGACUGAGACACGGCCCAAACUCCUACGGGAGGCAGCAG